rnacentral:lncRNA from 1 species
AAAAAAAAUUGUUCUAGGGUUUUUUUUUCCUUCAAAAUUUUCUAACGUGCGCCGCGGCCGCGUAAGUUUUGUAAAUGGGUCCACGCUGAGAUCUGGGUGGGAGGUGUCUGACUCUGAGGCUCUGUUAAAUAUGGUCCUUGAAAGAGGGUGGUCAGAGCGUGAUCGGAAUAAAUGAAGAUGGAGGAAGAAAAAAAAAAGUUAAAUGAAAAAGAAUGUAAAAAUUAAACGGUGCAAAUCUCAAGAGCUGACAAUGUAUUUAAUUUGAAGGGCUUAGAUCUUGUCGUUUUGAACACUGUUGGCGCAUUAGAUUUUGCAUUUAUGAAUAGGUGAAUUGAAUGGUGAAUAUUAAAUGAUAAUAAUAAUAAUUUUUUUUUUUUUUUUGGUUUUGGGGUUUUGAAGAUUCUAAUGUGCUUUUGUUGCUUCUUUAUGUGGCAUGAAUAUUAAAUGAUAAUAAUAAUAAUUUUUUUUUUUUUUUUUGGUUUUGGGGUUUUGAAGAUUCUAAUGUGCUUUUGUUGCUUCUUUAUGUGGCAUAUAAAUAUAUGUACAUGACGAAUGAUUGCUGCUAUGGAUGGAUAUGCAAAAUAUCAUCAUC